AACGAACGCUGGCGGCAUGCCUAACACAUGCAAGUCGAACGAGCCCUUCGGGGCUUGUGGCGCACGCGUGCGAAAAGCGCGGGGAAACGCCCUUAGGUUCUCGAUAACUCCCCGGAAGAGGUGCUCAUAUCGCGUAAUCUCUUCGGUCCAAAGAUUUAUCGCCUCUGGGUGGGCCCGCGUUGGAUUUGCUAGUUGGUAGGGUAAAAGCCUACAACGGGGACAAUCGCUGGAUGUUCUGAGAGGGUGUUCAGCCACACUGGGACGGGGACACGGCCCAGACUCCUACGGAAGGCAGCAGUGGGGAUUAUUGGAAAUGGGGCCAAGGCCUAUUCCACCAAGGCCGGGGGAGCGAUGAAGGCCUUAGGGUUGUAAAGCUCUUUUACCCGGGAGGAUAAUGACAUUACCGGGAGAAUAAGCCCCGGCUAACUCCGU
rnacentral:rRNA from 1 species